ACAGGCAAGCCAUGGUUCACCAUGCAACGUGGCCAUCCCACCCGAGCCACAAGAUCCAUCCUGAGGAGAACUCAGGCCACAAGAAGAUCUGCUUCUUGCCCAACAUGGGUGGUCAGGCACUAAGCAACCCAUGCCUUACAUCCCCCUUCAGCCACUUCCUCCAGAUCACUGCACCCUGAAUCUGUUACCAAGAGUCUUAGAAGAAAAACUAACAUGAGACAGGACCCCUCCUAGCAAGCUCCCCUGCCAGCUCUCCCUUCUCUAUCCAAACUGCCAAUUUUGGAGUGCCCAGUCAUCUUCUACCCUGUAACUCCAUGCCUCCUUUAUGAUAGUAAUUCCCAAAUGUAAGUCUGUAACCUCAACUUUCUAGAGAGAUCCACCUCCCAGUAUAGUAGCCACUACCCAUGUGUGGCCAUUGAGUGCUUAAAAUG